rnacentral:lncRNA from 1 species
GAUCCUUUUGUUUCUUUUUCUCAAUAACCAGUAGGUAGUGGCGUAGACUGUAACUUGGCAAAUUUCUUUGUGCAGUUGUUGUCCUUUGAAGUAUCUGCAUAUCCAAUUCCAUUCCAUAUGUGCGUCCUCUAACUUGUCAUUGGAGCUCACACCAGUUCAGAAUUUCAGUCCACACCUUCCUUGAAUAUCUCCAAUUAAAAAAUAGGUGUUUAGUAUCUUCACGAAAAUGCAUUCGACUAAAACUUUCACCACCAAUAUUUACAGGUACCAAUACAGGGAGAGCCUGAUUGGACUGCAUAUAGGAGGGUAUCUGUUGAGUGACUCGUACUGGGAACCCUUUGGGUACUUUGUGGUGUUUGUCUGCCUUGUACUCUCUGGGAAACUUCAUACUCCAAGUUACAAAGGACAAUUAGUUUCAAGUAGCUUGCUCCAUCUCAGUAGUUUAUCCUGUGUCAAAAGUGCUUCUUGUACGGCAAGCCAAGUAAUAAACAUAUCUCACCAAAAUCUUUUUUGAGUGUAAUGGUAGAUUACUUUGGUGUUGAAGAGUUAUUCUCUUUCUUAAUUUUAUUGACUAUUUGACACUUAAAUCUUUCUUCACUCAUAACAAGUGAGCAUUGUGCACGUUAGCUAGCUGUCUGUGCUAUGAGCACAAAGUCAGCCACAGAUACAGUAAUGGGUCCUUAUACUUCAUGCUCAUAUAGAUCUCUUUGAAUGUGCAAGGAGAUUGCGGUGUUCUAUAGGAUAGGGACCUUAUAGCAAUUUAAUAUUUAGAUCUAUAAUUUGAAUCCAUGUAGAUGUAAUGUAGCACAUGACUUAGAUUCAUUGCACUUCAACUUUGUUUCUCUUUAUUUGCAUCUUUCUCUAUAAGUAGGACUAUUCAUUAGUCAUUAGAAUGCCUGAACGUGAAUGGCUACUGUAGUUAUAACGUACAGAGGUAAAAUGUAGUAAAACCUACUGUGUUGGACUCAAUGAAGCUGGUAGGUAUUGGGUCACUACUUCACUUGGGUCACAUUAAUAUGCAGAACUUGUUUGUGUGGAAAUGGAUCACUAUCAUCUUUGUGAUCUUCCCUUCUUGUCAUAAAUUUAGGUGUUCCUUUUUCAUUCUCUUGGAAAAAAUGAUCAUGCAUGUUGUUAAUUUUAGGAUUGUUUUCUUUUUUAAUGUUGCAGGAUAGCUAUGAUCAAUGAGGCAUCAAACUAAUUUCUUAGGGACAGUUCAUAUCUCAGGGUAUUUUUUUUCCGGUGAGUUAUACUUCCAGCAAGUCAUCACACACUAUUUUUUCACUUGUGGUAUGCAUCAUAUGACACUAUAUGUUUAGGAAGGACUUAAAAGUGGAGUGAGUAGACAAUUAGGAUACUCUGUGUAAUCUGGCAGCUUCCAUUCACUCUUGUUAUGUAUGUUUUUAUAUUUUCUGAACAACUUGUUUUGUUUAAGAUUGCAUUAUACUUUGUAAUAAUUGUUAUGGUCACAUAAAAAUCUAGCAUAACUGAAUCUGAUCUGAAUUGAAUAAUACUGUUAUUUUCAUAGUAUUUUUGGAAUAUUAAUUCCAAAUAAUUUAUGGCAGAAGUUACAGUAUGAUACAUAUAUGUAAGGACACGAGAACAUAGUAUGUUUUUUUUUUCUUCUUAAUCUAUCCCCUUUUUAACUCCGCCAAAGCAAACUUAUGAAAACCACUGGUCCCAAGACCGGAUAAAAGAAGAGGGAAAAGGGUAAUAUUGUUAAAUUAUUUUAUAGUUGAAUUGUAAUACUGUAGUUUAAUUGUAUCAAUAAUUAACUUGAUUUUGUUUAUUACAGAGACUGCACAGGGUACAAGAUACCAACUGAAGUGUUGAAUUUUCCUGCAAGACCUAACUCUUCUUCGAUUUCUUCGUCCUGGGCGAAACCUACCAAUGAUGGUCAAGUUAAUAAGUUAGUAGUGAAUGAUGAAGAAGAGCUUUAUAAGCCUAAAAAACUGUAAGUCUAUAUAUCUCCAUUUGCCGACGCAUUGAGUUCAAUGAUGUAAACAACAAUCUAAGAAUAUUUCUUCUCCGCACUAGGGCAGGUGGUUUGGGUAUCAAUCUCACUUCAACCGACACCUAUAUAUAUUGUGACAGUGAUUAGGGUAAGCUCUCUCAUGGUCUAAAUCUCUAAACAUCUAUUGCAUCUUCCCCUCAAAACCCUGAAAUGGAUUUGCAUCCCAUGGAUAUUUGCCAAAGGAUAGGCCAAACCCGACCAAUUCGUGUGUAUAGUCAUUAGAGCUUUGUUUACUAUUGUGGAUGUCUUUUGUACUUGUGAAUACUAUUUCUCGUUUAAAUUUUUUUUGUCAUAUGAACUAAUUAACUUUUCUUUAAUUAGUGUCGCAUAUUAGAGAGAGCUUUCAGUAAGUUGAGGCGUGAGCAUGUAGUGAUUGGGAAAGGCCAGUUCCAGUAGGAGAGAACCAAGUCAAAUUCUUUGAAUGUUCUUGAGGUUUGUGUUCUGUUACCAUCUCGCAUCUUGGUUGCUUUGUUAUGUUAUUAAACCCCUGGUUUGGAUAUCAAAGAACCACCCAAUGUUUUGAAUAUCCUUGGGUCUCUAUCAAAAGUAGAGACAUGAGGGUAGUAGCAACAUUGUCGUCACCUUUAUGUUUUUCACUUAUCUUUUUGCAUGUUAGACCACCAAGUUGUUCCAUGUCGUCAUCACCUUUCACUAUGGUACAUAAUCAGAAUUAUGUACCUAGGCAUUGUAGUUUGAUAUUUUUCAUUUUCUUUCAACAGGCUGACAUCUAGAAUGUGAUGGAUGCUAUUGGAUCAACACUUUAUGUUCUGCAAACAAUGGUUUCCUGUCUAUGCUCUGUACUCUCAAAGGUGAACUGGCUAUAGUUGUUAGGAGUUUAAUUUUUUCUAUUCCUCAAGUUGAUUAUAACCAAUUAACCACAAACUUCAAAUAGUAAGUUGUGAUGUUGAUAUUUGUCUUUUUUAUGUAUAUGUUUUUCUUUCCUUGGUUCCUAUUAACAAGAGUUUGUGUUUAAUAAAAAAAAAUGUGUUCAUUAAGUUCGAGAUUGUGAAUGCUUUGGAAAUGUUAAUUGUUUAUUUAAUGUACUAAUUAAUUGCAUUUUCGCUUAGUUAGUUA